CAGCUCCAAUAGCGUAUAUUAAAGUUGUUGCAGUUAAAAAGCUCGUAGUUGGAUCUAGGGACGCGCAUUUCAAGCGCUCGUGUCAUCGGGUCAAACCGGUGACUGCGUGGCGUUGCGGGCUCGGUCCGUCGGUGUCACUAAAAGCAUCGGCGUGUCAACCGGCCCGCCCGUCCCCUCCUUCUGGAUUCCCGUUCCUGCUAUUGAGUUAGUGGGGACGUCACAGGGAGCUCAUCGUCGUCAGCAAUGGCGGCGGUGAGUUCCUGGGGCCCAGAUCGUUUACCGUGAAAAAAUUAGAGUGUUCAAAGCAGGCAGAUCCAAUUUUCUGCCACCGAAUACAUUAGCAUGGGAUAAUGGAAUAGGACCCUGUCCUCCUAUUUUCAGUUGGUUUGCCGCGAGGACCAGGGUAAUGAUUAAUAGGGAUAGUUGGGGGCAUUAAUAUUUAAUUGUCAGAGGUGAAAUUCUUGGAUUUAUGAAAGAUUAACUUCUGCGAAAGCAUCUGCCAAGGAUGUUUUCAUUAAUCAAGAACGAAAGUUAGGGGAUCGAAGACGAUCAGAUACCGUCGUAGUCUUAACCAUAAACGAUGCCGACCAGCGAUUAGGAGACGUUGAAUACAAAACACCACCAUGCGCAUUGCGGUCGUCUUUGGUGUGUCGCUCACAAGGCGGCAUCAUCGGGACGGCUUAGCUCGCAUGGCACCGGUGAA
rnacentral:rRNA from 1 species